rnacentral:rRNA from 1 species
UGGGGAAUAUUGCACAAUGGGCGAAAGCCUGGUGCAGCGACGCCGCGUGAGGGAUGACGGCCUUCGGGUUGUAAACCUCUUUCAGCAGGGAAGAAGCGAAAGUGACGGUACCUGCAGAAGAAGCGCCGGCUAACUACGUGCCAGCAGCCGCGGUAAUACGUAGGGCGCGAGCGUUGUCCGGAAUUAUUGGGCGUAAAGAGCUCGUAGGCGGUCUGUCGCGUCGGAUGUGAAAGCCCGGGGCUUAACCCCGGGUCUGCAUUCGAUACGGGCAGACUAGAGUGUGGUAGGGGAGAUCGGAAUUCCUGGUGUAGCGGUGAAAUGCGCAGAUAUCAGGAGGAACACCGGUGGCGAAGGCGGAUCUCUGGGCCAUUACUGACGCUGAGGAGCGAAAGCGUGGGGAGCGAACAGGAUUAGAUACCCUGGUAGUCCACGCCGUAAACGGUGGGAACUAGGUGUUGGCGACAUUCCACGUCGUCGGUGCCGCAGCUAACGCAUUAACG